CUACGUGCCAGCAGCCGCGGUAAUACGGAGGGUGCGAGCGUUAAUCGGAAUAACUGGGCGUAAAGGGCACGCAGGCGGUGACUUAAGUGAGGUGUGAAAGCCCCGGGCUUAACCUGGGAAUUGCAUUUCAUACUGGGUCGCUAGAGUACUUUAGGGAGGGGUAGAAUUCCACGUGUAGCGGUGAAAUGCGUAGAGAUGUGGAGGAAUACCGAAGGCGAAGGCAGCCCCUUGGGAAUGUACUGACGCUCAUGUGCGAAAGCGUGGGGAGCAAACAGGAUUAGAUACCCUGGUAGUCCACGCUGUAAACGAUGUCGAUUUGGGGGUUGAGCUUUGAGCUUGGCGCCCGUAGCUAACGUGAUAAAUCGACCGCCUGGGGAGUACGGCCGCAAGGUUAAAACUCAAAUGAAUUGACGGGGGCCCGCACAAGCGGUGGAGCAUGUGGUUUAAUUCGAUGCAACGCGAAGAACCUUACCUACUCCUGACAUCCAGA
rnacentral:rRNA from 1 species